UUGACCUCAAAUCAGGUAGGACUACCCGCUGAACUUAAGCAUAUCAAUAAGCGGAGGAAAAGAAACUAACAAGGAUUCCCCUAGUAACUGCGAGUGAAGCGGGAAAAGCUCAAAUUUAAAAUCUGGCAGUCUUUUUUUUCUUCUUUGGCUGUCCGAGUUGUAAUCUAGAGAAGUGCUUACCUGCACU
rnacentral:rRNA from 1 species